rnacentral:lncRNA from 1 species
AUGGGUGUCACCUCCCCAGGGGUGGCUCUGGGCUCUCUCAGUGCCCAACACUCACAGUUUUGGGGCUGGGGGCUUGGGGAGGCCUGGGCUGAGCCAGAGGUGCUGGUGUCACCCUGGGGUGGUGUCACCCCAGGGAUAGUGCCAACCUGGGGCUGGUGUCACCCCAGGGCUGGUGUCACCCUUGGGAUUGUGUCACCCUUGGGAUGGUGUCACCCCCUGACCAGUGUCACCCCCAGGCCGGUGUCACCCUUGGGCUGGUGUCACCCGUGGGAUGGUGUCACCCCUGGGCUGGUGUCACCCCUGGGAUGGUGCCACCCAGGGAUGGUGUCACCCUUGGGAUGGUGUCACCCCCUGACCAGUGUCACCCCCAGGCCGGUGUCACCCCUGGGAUGGUGCCACCCCUGGGAUGGUGCCACCCCUGGGAUGGUGCCACCCAGGGAUGGUGUCACCCUUGGGAUGGUGUCACCCCCUGACCAGUGUCACCCCCUGGCCGGUGUCACCCCAGGGAUGGUGUCACCCCCUGGCUGGUGCCACCCCCGGUGUCACGGGCAGGGUCCUGCCCCUGCUCACCCCUGGCUCCUCCGCAGCCGCUCCGGGCAGGGCCGGGCUCAGUCUCGGGGGGCAGCGAUGCGAUCCACCUGCAAAAGGGACAGAAGGGACACGCAGCCUAAAAACAGCCGCCCCCGGGGAAACCAACCCACGGACACGGGUGGGAUUCCAGGGGUGGAAUUCCAGGGGUGGGAUUCCAGGGGUGGGAAUUCCAGGGGUGGGAUUCCAGGGGUGGGAUUCCAGGGGUGGGAUUCCAGGGGUGGGAUUCCAGGGGUGGGAUUCCAGGGGUGGGAUUCCAGGGGUGCAUUUCCAGGGGUGGGAUUCUGGGGGUGGAAUUCCAGGGGUGCAUUUCCAGGGGUGGGAUUCCAGGGGUGGGAUUCCAGGGGUGGGAUUCCAGAGGUGGAAUUCCAGCAUUCUCUCACUGUGGGAUUCCCUGUCAAAGGCAGCCAGGAGCUUCCAGAAGCUUCCAGCAUUUCUGGAAGGAGGGUGACACUCACUGAGCAGGGGCCAGGGAUGGGCUGGGCUGUGCUGGCUGCAGCUGCCUCGGUGAUCAUUAAAUAA